UACGAAGGGGGCUAGCGUUGUUCGGAAUUACUGGGCGUAAAGCGCGCGCAGGCGGCUCUUCAAGUCAGGGGUGAAAGCCCAGAGCUCAACUCUGGAACUGCCUUUGAGACUGAAGAGCUUGAGUACGGGAGAGGUGAGUGGAAUUCCCAGUGAUAGCGGUGAAAUGCGUAGAGAUCGGGUAGGAACACCAGUGGCGAAGGCGGUCUCCUGGAGCAUACUGACGCUGAGGCGGCGAAAGCUG
rnacentral:rRNA from 1 species